rnacentral:rRNA from 1 species
GCUACUACGUGCAGCAGCGCGGUAAUACGUAGGGUGCGAGCGUAUCGAUACUGGCGUAAAGCGUGCGCAGCGUUUAGUAGACAGCGUGAAAUCCCCGGGCUCAACCUGGGAACUGCGCUGUGACUGCUAAGCUAGAGUACGGCAGAGGGGGGUGGAAUUCCACGUGUAGCAGUGAAAUGCGUAGAGAUGUGGAGGAACACCGAUGGCGAAGGCAGCCCCCUGGGCCGAUACUGACGCUCAUGCACGAAAGCGUGGGUAGCAAACAGGAUUAGAUACCCUGGUAGUCCACGCCCUAAACGAUGUCAACUAGGUGUUGGGUGGGUAAAACCAUUUAGUACCGUAGCUAACGCGUGAAGUUGACCGCCUGGGGAGUACGGCCGCAAGGUUAAAACUCAAAGGAAUUGACGGGGACCCGCACAAGCGGUGGAUGAUGUGGAUUAAUUCGAUGCAACGCGAAAAACCUUACCUACCCUUGACAUGUCCAGAAGCCCGAAGAGAUUUGGGUGUGCCCGAAAGGGAGCUGGAACACAGGUGCUGCAUGGCUGUCGUCAGCUCGUGUCGUGAGAUGUUGGGUUAAGUCCCGCAACGAGCGCAACCCUUGUCGUUAAUUGCCAUCAUUGAGUUGGGCACUUUAACGAGACUGCCGGUGACAAACCGGAGGAAGGUGGGGAUGACGUCAAGUCCUCAUGGCCCUUAUGGGUAGGGCUUCACACGUCAUACAAUGGUCGGUACAGAGGGUUGCCAAGCCGCGAGGUGGAGCCAAUCCCAGAAAGCCGAUCGUAGUCCGGAUUGCAGGCUGCAACUCGCCUGCAUGAAGUCGGAAUCGCUAGUAAUCGCGGAUCAGCAUGUCGCGGUGAAUACGUUCCCGGGUCUUGUACACACCGCCCGUCACACCAUGGGAGCGGGUUCCGCCAGAAGUAGGUAGCCUAACCGCAAGGGGGGCGCUUACCACGGCGGGGUUCGUGACUGGGGUGAAGUCGUAACAAGGUAACCAAUC